AACGAACGCUGGCGGCGUGCCUAAUACAUGCAAGUAGAACGCAGUGGCGAACGGGUGAGUAACGCGUAGGUAACUGCCUCAUAGCGGGGGGAAACUAUUGGAAAAGAUAACUAAUACCGCAUACUGGGAGAUGGACCUGCGUGGUAAUAGCUAGUUGGUGAGGUAAAGGCUCACCAAGGCGACGAUACAUAGCCGACCUUCGAGGCUGAUCGGCCACACUUGGACUGAGACACGGCCCAGACUCCUACGGGAGGCAGCAGGAGGGAAUCUUCGGCAAUGGACGGAAGUCUGACUGAGCAACGCCGCGUGAGUGAAGAAGGUUUUCGGAUCGUAAAGCUCUUUUGUUAGAGAAGCGGUAACUAGCCAGAAAGGGCCGGCUAACUACGUGCCAGCAGCCGCGGUAAUUC
rnacentral:rRNA from 1 species